GCGCUCGUAGCUCAACUGGAUAGAGCAUCAGCUUGCGGAGCUGAGGGUUCCGAGUUCAAAUCUCGGCGAGCGCG
rnacentral:tRNA from 1 species